rnacentral:lncRNA from 1 species
UCAAAUUAUUUGAGUUGUAUUAGCAAUAUUAUGUGUGUUUAAGUGAUCACUAAUAUCCUAUAUAUUGCGCGAAUUACCCAGAGACCAACAUGGGAACAAGGCCUAUAUUUCGCUCAAGAAAAAUGUUGUAUUGAUAGAUCUAUGGAGGAAAUAACAAAGAUGAGUCCAGAAUUUAGCCAAAAUGCAUAAUUUUCCAAAAAUACUGAAAAACCAAAAAUAUGACAAGAAUCUUUGAAAAUAUAACACAAUGCCUUUUGUAAUUAUGUUGUUUUGUGAUGAUAGUAAAAUUUGGUUGAUAUAAAACUGAAACAUAACUAUUCCUGCUCUAUGAAUGACUCUGUGAUAACGUUACCCAGGAUUUAACUAAUUCAGCUCCAUCAGCACAAUAAAUCAUGUUAUGUAAUUUUGUAGAGAAAAAAUACAGUAUUUUAUUUUCUAAUGGGACUAAUAACAAAAUUGAACAUUGCAGCAUAAUCAGGUUUCGCUAGACAAGAGAAAUAUAUGACCAUGAAAGUGUAUAGAAGAUAGGCCUGAAAAUAAUAAUAUUCACUGUUAAAAUAAAAUAAAAGUGAUUCAAGUUAUAAAAGAACUAACCAGUGUAGAAAAUUCACUUUCAAAAAGAAAACAUAAAAAUGGUUGUACAGUUAAAGUGGAAUGAACUGAUAUUUUUAUAGAAACAGAACAAAACUACUAAAGGGAAACGAGGUGAAGAGCUGUAUGACAGAUGAAUCCGUCACUUGUCUUGUGGAAAACAUGCUUUUCUUAUGGUUAAGAAGUGGUAUAUCAUCUUCAUGUUCUUUCAUAAUUGAAGCACCAUCAUUGUGUAUCAUGUAGAAAAACUGCCGACAUUCAUAGGAAAUGUCAGUCACAAAAUCUGAAAUAUAGGGUAAAGGAGCCUCACUGCAACUUCUGAUAAGACUAUCAGAGAGGAUAAUAUACAAUCAGAGAGGGUAAAACAUAAAGAACGGACUAUCUGUGAUUUCAAGAUAGUGAAAAUUCACACAAGAAUAUCUAUAUACUUAUUUACCUUAUGAGUCUAUACCCAACAGAAAAAUAAAAGUGCUAGUAGAUAGUGGGAUAAAUUUAAAGGAUAAUAUAAUAUUAACUCAAAAAUUAGGUGAACUAUGUUCUAAAACAAAUUGCAGCACCAUCAGGGUUAACAUAAACAUAUGUCAUCAAACAAAUAUACACUCUUCAGUUUUUAGAGCAACAUGACCAAGAAGCAAUUGUAGGAUAGUAUUGAAAAGGAAUAUGCACUCCUAAGGAAAAUGACAUGGGGAUGGACACAGGA